rnacentral:rRNA from 1 species
GACGAACCGUGCGAACGUUGUUCGGAAUCACUGGGCUUAAAGGGCGCGUAGGCGGCUUGUCAAGUCAGGGGUGAAAUCCUGCAGCUUAACUGUAGAAGUGCCUUUGAUACUGACGAGCUCGAGGGAGGUAGGGGUCGCUGGAACUUCUGGUGGAGCGGUGAAAUGCGUUGAUAUCAGAAGGAACGCCGGUGGCGAAAGCGAGCGACUGGAUCUCUACUGACGCUGAGGCGCGAAAGAUAGGGGAGCAAACGGG